AAAGCAUGGGUCAGAGGCGCUCUCGAAGCAUUAACAUGAUAAUUUAUUCGAUAAAAAUGUAUGGACAAACCAAAAAAAAGAGACAAGGAAAAAAAAAAACUGUAAGGACCAGACAAAAACUACACCUUAUAAAAUGUUGCCUCCAUGAGGUUAGCACAUACAGAAUGAUGGCCUGUCUUGGUUGAAAGCCCACUCACCACGGCAAGGUGCAGACCACGAGUGGGAACACAAGACCAGACGAGGACAAGACAAACUCUGACGGGACAACAGCAAGAUGAUGGAGCCGAAUGGUACAGUACAGAGAAGUUGCCAUUUUCACCAGAAGAUGCACAUGGUUGUCUUCAACAGUGGUAUCAAACAUGUGACCAUGCAGCCCUGGAAACAAAGUCUUGUUUGCACUGUAAAGAAGAACUUCUUUUCCACUGGCCAUAGACAGCCCGUGCCCUUGAGGAAGUUUGCCAGAGGUUGCUUUCAAGACCCGUUGGAAACAACGCUCUGCUUCUUUACAGACUGCAAUGAUUCCCUCAGAUGGCUUCUGCAAUCCUCCUCUAUCUUUCAGAAGAAGAAAAGGAUGGACGGGGGACUCAGAUGUUAUAGCGUCAGAGCAUGGUGUGCAAAGAUGUUUUUCCUUGAUUUUUUUGACAACAAACCCUGCAAUAUAGUUGAUGGCAGCCUCUUUGUACUCAGAGACAGCAUCAACAUCAGGACAGAGUGAGUAGUCAUGUUCAGACUGGGCUUCCUCAACAGGCUCCAGGUUGAACCUACGUGUGGUGUUAAUUGAGGCAGGUGUAAUGCCCAAGGUGCCUGUGUUAUCCAGCAGGAGACAGUUGCCUGUGCCAGUCUUUACCUGAUGCUUGACGAGAAGACGCUUGUAAGCUGCAGUGAACUGUGUGGUGGUGGGAUUGUUGUUGAAUCCACCACGUGCUCUGACAGAGGAGAAGAAAAGCUCUAGGUGGUCUUGACUGAGCUUAUAGGUCAGUAGAUAACGACACUGGGCAUCAUCCUUUUCCACAAGGUCAUGGAAGAUGUUCUGUACACUUCUUGCACUGGCAAUAAAACCAAUGAUGCAUGUUCUUCUUCUUCCAGAAUGCACAGGGUUCCCGUUGUUGUCUCUGAGCGAAAGUAGAGUUGACUCUGCUUUUUGAAGGAUCGCUGCAGUUCUGUCUUUGUUUGAUGCUCUCAUAGGUGCUUUGUAUAUCCCUUCCCAAGUGGAUUCCUGCUGUUGAGAACAUCAAAGGCAGCGUCAAUGGUUCUCAGGAAUUCUACUGUCUCCUCACAGCCUCUGAACUGUGGCAAUUGCAGUUGUUGGUUGCAAUAUUCCAGAGCAUCAGCCACACUACUACUGAAAACCUGUGUUGCCAGCUUUACCUUCAUCUUCUGUUUCUCCCACUUUAUAUGCGCCAUCUUUAACUUGUUCCCUAGUCUUAGACCCUCUCUCUCUUGUAACUCAUUUAGCUGAACAAGAUAUCGCCAUUGAAUUUUACCUUUUGAGGUUUGCAGUGUACCUCCUUCAGCCAGUGUAUUUCUGAGCAGCUUAACCAUGUGGCAGACAUCCAAAAGUACAUGGACCACUGAAUGGGUUGAUGGAUGUGGAAAUGAGGGCCGCAUUGAAUGUACAUCUAAAUUUGCACCAAGUGCUUUUGAGCAUAGAGAAAUGGCAAGAUGGGCCAUCACAUGUUAGAGAAACUAUACGUACCCCAACACUGUGCAGCCGUUGAAGGCAUUCACUCACGAUGUUUGCUCGUUCUUCCCCUGUGAGUCAAUCGAUGAAAAAAUAUAUGCCACUGGGAGUUUCCAUGAGUCAUCUAUGGCAACAACCAUAAGAACCAGAGCAUCUCUUGCUGGAGGAAGACUGUCAUCUGUGAUGCCUGAUCCCAGGUCCACAUAACCAUGAAACCUUCCAGCGCAAUAUUGAACAUGCUUUCGAAUGGCCAUUUCAUCCAGCAUCAAAGCACAAAUGGUCUCCUUACCUACCUUGUGUCUCUCCUGUACGUGGGCCUGAAGAGCAAUAAAAGACGCCUUUGUGAAGCCUGGAUCUGAUGACACUUCACGAUACCAGUUCCUGAUGGUCUCCGGAUGUGGUAAGGCCAAGUCAAAACACUCACGCACGUAGGUGUACGCCUUGGCAGAGUAAAAGUGAAGAGUCAAAGCAAAAGACUGCAAUUCCUCUGACACUUUAGACUUGUUUCCUUUUUCCAUUCUGGUAAGUAUUUCCUUUGUGACACCACUGAAAGAGUUCUCCAUCAUUUCAGCACAUCCUGUGGAAAUCAGGCUUUUGUCUUUCAGCUCUUCAAUAAUGGCAGACAGGGAGUCAGCUCUCUUCAUUAAUCGCCGGGUCCUGAGUUGUUGUGCUUUAAGUUUUUUACGACAGUGGUCCAGCUUUUCUUCGACAGAAAGUAACUGUGUUUCACACUGACGCUUUACAGUCCUAGGUGAUGCUAACAUUGCGUAACAAUGGUCCUUACUUGUGGAUGUCUGUACAGCUGUGACAGGGCGAGUUAACAUCUGUGGCGCACUAUUAAAAGACAAGUUACUGCUGAUUUCAGAGUUUGAGCUUUCAUACUCAAUAUCUCUGUCUUCAGUCAGCUCCAUGCCCUGAAUGUUGGCUGCAUAUGUAUGUUCCUUACCUGUUACAAAUGGUACUGCUUGUGUAGUGUCAAGCAUGCUGUGUAGCUGGUAUGUAGGGUCCAUACCUGUUGCAGUGGGAGAUGCAAUGCCAUUGCUGGGUGCACACUGACCUUUGUGGGAGUAGUCAAAAAUGGUAGGAACAGCUGAUGGUUGCAAAUAAGUCUUCCUACCCUUGAUAAGGAAGCACUCCUCUUCAAAGUGUG